GUCUUCCUCCCGCAACAGCGCCAACAUGUCAAAUCCACUAGACAUCCUCCUGCCUGGAAGGCACCUGCUUCUUAUGGAGUGAAUAUGGAUGUGCCUCUUGACUUCGCCCUCUGUAUACGCUUCCUUCAUCUGUUCGGAUCUGAUCUCCCUUUCAGUUCUGUGUCAUUCAAGGCUUCGGCAUCUGGAACUCUCCGUGCGGCUACAGUUGCAUCUUGUCAGCCAACCGGCUGGUAUCAACCUCGUUCUCUGAGUUUCCUAUCUCAGAUGCCCUAGCUGCUGCUACUACAGAUUCACAGUCUUUUUAUUUCAAUAAAUGCCUUUUUUAAUAAUCCCACUAUCUAGACUGCCUCGAACACUGGGUCCUCUGUUUUGAGUUGUGACAUUCCGAUUGUUUGAAAUAACCAAUGAAAAAUAAUAUUGUACCUAAAAAUGACCUCGUGUCUUCCAAAUGAAAUUUCCACCUCUUCCACCUUAUAAUUCCAUCAUGUAGAAUGUCCAAUUUU